AAACUUUCUGUCUUUUGAGCUCUACAGCCCUCCUGUUGUGUGCCAGGCCCCACACUGAUGGCUGCACACUUUGGCUCCUGCACCACAAACCUGCCUUGGUGCCACCAGAGUGCCCAUCCCUUCCUAUGGAGAUGUUGCCCAGGAAAAACCUGGGCUACUGCUGCUGUAGGGAUGGGUUUGCUGCACCCACAGUGGUGUUUCUGCCCCAACGAAGGAAAGAUAUAGCUGGGCUCAGCCUCAGAUGUCACCAGACCAGACCUGGAUGCUAAACUUGUUGGCUAUUCUCUGGCAGCGUGUCCUUGGUAUUUUGUUGGUAUUAUUGGUAUUUUGUUUGGUAUUAUUUCAACGCCUUGAAAUAGUCCCAGUGCCACCCUAUUAAGGAAGAUGAAAGGAUUUUACAGCCAAAGAAUAGCUGUGGAAUGGAGCAAAAAAAAAAAUGUCAUUUUUAGCCCAGCCCUAUUCUACCAGAUCACUGAGAUGCUGUGGGAAGCAAGACAAAAAGCAAAUGUGCAAGCCCAUCCACAGCCAGUCUGAGAGUGAUCUGACAUGCACUUAGAAAAGUAAGUGGCACCACCACGUCUGGGCACCAGGGCAGGACUGUAGUUAAAUGAAGGCAUUUAUACAGCUCUGCUAGCACAAAGGUCUGGAUCUUGCUCAUCUGAAUCCCAGCCUGCUCAUGUAUUCAAAGCUAUUCUUGUGCUCAUCCCGAUCACCUUGAGGGAAAAAAAGUGGCUUUUCUUUUUCCACAUCCAUGCAAUCACAGAUGCCAAACCUUAAGCAUGAUCACUAUUCUUUCGGCCAAGGCAAACCUGCAGUUGUCAGAAGUGCCUGCAGAGAUGACCCUUUACCCAGCUGAGAAGGUGAAGUCAAAGGCAGAGAUCAAGCACAGAACAUUUCAUCCCAAUUGGAGGGAGUUUAGGAAUUACGAGCAAGUGAAAAUGAAAACCUGUCUGCAACCUUUUUGAUACCAGCUACAGUGUGCUUGGUAUGGAUAGCAUCUGUGUCUUAGGGUAAGUCCCUGAGCUCUAACAGUGAAAAAAAUGGAGAAAUACCACUUCUCUGUUCUGAUAUCACUGGCAGUCUGCACCUAAAGAAAUGACACCUCCUGACUCCAGCCCUGCAUCCUGGAACCUCAACUACCUGAUAUGUGUGGUGCUAGACACCUGAAAUUCCUAGCUGACAUAAGAUAACUUGUGUCUAGGAUCAGUCCCUUUUCUGCAUUUAGGCAGGGCAGUGCCAGCCAGAGCAUUAUGAUUCAGUUUUCUUUACUAGUGCAAAAGCUAAACUGAGCAAGCCGAUCCAUCUGUGUGAUGCAAAUAGCACUGAAAUUGGUCUGGUUUGCCUGUAACAGGAAUGGGAGGCUGUGCAUAAUGUUUUGCACUGAUAUUAGGUAGCAUGACUAGAUAUUCUGCAAUGCUGAGAUCCUUGAAGACGGACAAGUAGAUAGAGCAACCUACCUUUGCUUUUGUGUGUGUAUAUGUAUGCAUGUUUUUUUUCCCCUCUAAACCUGAGCCACUGACUAGAAAUGUAUGUAUUUGUAUAUUUAUUUAUUUCUAAGCUCAUGCUGUAACUCCUGAUAGACUCCACACUGGGGGAUGAGUCACAAACACAGCUCAAAGUACAACAUGGAUAUACUCUGCUGUCUUCAGCUGUGCUGACAGCCCCGAGCCCAGAGCAGGAGGAGCAGAGAAGAGCAGAGAAGCUACCAUUCCUUUAAGCUGGGGUCUCUGCUAGGGGGUUCAUCACUGGGUACCAGCUGAGACCUGUACUUGAAUGAGGAACAGGAGCAAGGUGGUCAACCUAGGACAUCAACAUCCACAGCUCAAAUACAUGAUGGGAGCCCAGCAGUAGACUUUUACACAAGUCUUGAUGGGUAGAGAGUGGAGUGUGUCUGCUUUGCAUGGCUCCAGGGACACAGGCAGAGCAAUUCCUUGUUAAAAAUUUUAACCUGAAUCAUCAAAGUUUGAGAAGGAUGGGAAAAAAAAGAAGUGGAAUUUUAUGGAUCCUUAAUGCUGGUGGGGUUUGGCACCAUAUUGGUAUCUGUCAUCUCAUUGUUUUCAUAAAGAGAAGGUUACAAUAAAGAUUCUGUGAAUUAAUCUGCUUUAGGAAAA
rnacentral:lncRNA from 1 species